ACAAAAGUUCUCAUGGAAAUGCAAAGAGGAGUCUUUACCAUCAGCAGCCUUAACUGGAUUUGAGCCAGUGGUCGAAGGAUUUGAGCUUUUGGAAGCUAGAAUGCUUCUACAGAUUAUCUUUAGGGAUUUCCUUGUAAAUGGAGUGCUAGCAUGUGUAGUUAUCUACUCCCUGUAGAGGCUCAUCGAGCUGCACAUGCUUAAUCUUUACUUACAUGUUUCCUGAUUCUUGCUGUAAAUUGGGCCUCAGUUUUAACUUUUGCUCUCAGGAAGAAGGGGCUAUUAUAACAAAUUCUAAUCCUUUUUGCAAUUCCACAAUCAUUUAAGCCUGCCAAACAAACCAAGUGAUCUUUUCCUGGGCUGAGGGAAAGAGGAGAGUGUAAAACGCAGGUGGCAGCAUUUGCUGGGGAAGAACUGGUACAUUAUCAACUAAUCCGCCUUCUGCUAUUUCUGAUUUCCUACCCAACAGCUGCAACAUUGAAUGAGAGCUUCUGCAUUUGGGAAGAAUUAGAAAGCCUGGAGGUGUGCUGGAGGAGGAUUGCUUUGCUCCUGGCUGAUGGACUAAAGUAAACAUAGAGAAAAAGGUGCACACAGUCAUCAUUGUCAUCAGCAACUGGAGAUGGACUAGAAGAAUGUAACGGAGCACACAUCUGGCAGCGUGACAUUAUUCCUAUGGGGUGCAAUGUGCCCUCUGUGCACGGAAUCAUCACUGUGGAUUUCUGCUUCAGUCCUGUGGGCAUGAGCUGUACUGUGUGUGCACUGAGGAGAGCCAGAAAGGAGCACGGAGUCAUCACCUGAGGGGAAACAAAAUUCAGAAACGAGGAGGGGAAAUUUCGGUGCUUAUUUUUAGACUCUGUGGGAAAACUUGAAACUUUGUGUUGCUACACACAAUUCAUGCCAACCCUCAGUGGUUCGGCUCCCAAGAGAGACAGAACACUUCUUCUGACGAACUGUCUCAUCAGAAGACCUUGGAGGCUGUGCGCAUUUGUGGGGUGGAGCACAUGUGUGCACACAUGCUUAUGAGUACAAAAUUCACUCACUCCCUGACUGAUACAAAACAUUGCCAAUCACUGCGUGAGAAAAUGGCCACAACAUAUAAAAUGGUUUACUUCACAGCAUUUAAACUUGCCCAAAGCCAGCGAGCAAUUAGUUUUUUUUGGUACUGAAUUAUAUACACUUGUAUCCCUCCCACUGAGAUUCUUAUCUAUGAAACAGAGAGCUCUUAAAACAAGAAAAAGAAAGUAAAAAGUAGGCCAAUUUACUUGGAGUUGUUGUUGUUGUUGUUAACUUCAGAACAGAUGGUAACAUAUCACAAUGGAAGUUUUAUAAAAAAUUCCAUCUU
rnacentral:lncRNA from 7 species